UUCCAGACUAGGUACUCUUCAAGUUGGCCUGUUUGAUGUCUUCUAUCUCAUGGAGCCCCUACGCAUUUCUUUUUUCAUUUCCCUUUAAAUUAGUCCACUUGGACAAAUAAUUAGGCAGUACUGCAAAGCAGGCAGUGGCUCAGUCCUAGGGAGACAAAGAUGUGUCAGACCCAGUUUGUUCUCAAGGAAUCCCAUGUUUAGAGAUGGAGAGAAAACAGUUACAUGGACAUAGAUAGGGAGAACAGACGUGUGAAAAAUGGUAAAGACACACAGCAAAGGCACAAGAAGACAGUACAGCUUGGGGUGAGGCCAGGUACGGCUUCCCAGAAGAGGUAGGCAUAAGCCUUGAAGGGGGCAGAAAUAAAGAGGCAGAGUAUUUCUAAUACUUCAAUGAUGUUCCCUGGCGCAAGAAUCCCUUGAGGGAAAUGUCUUCUCUCCCUUUGAACUCAGCG
rnacentral:lncRNA from 1 species